CUUUACCAUCUCCAGCUUCACAGCUGCACUGGGGGCUCAGACAACUUGACUGUGGACCAGAUCACCUGUGUUUCUGGUCGUAGGGACUCAGGAUGGAGGAGCUGCAGCUCCACAAGAAAGAUGAGGCAGUCUAAACUGUUUACCUCUAACGACUAUGUGGGACCUUGUUAUGCCCCAGACUGGACAAAAUGGGUCCUGGCUUGGGGUGCAGACGGACUUUAACUACCUAUACCCAUAGCUGGCAAUGCUUUGCCUCACAGGGGAGCCUUAUUCCAGGUCCAGAAAACAAAGCUGACACAAACUUUCAUCGCUGCACCUGCCUCUAGCUCUGAAAGAACUAAGUAAGGUCAGGUUUGUAUACAAAGUAGCCCAGGGCUAGUGCCCUGCCCAGUCAGAGCUGCUCAGGUUACUACAGCUUUGUGUUCUACAAGAAAGCAACCAGGCUCGCUGCCUUCCUGGUUUCAAGUUCUAAACAGCUUGUCAGAUUCAAGCGUUGGAAAAGCACAGCUGCAGCAAGCGCAGGCAGGCUUUUCCUGCACUCUUCCCAUGAUGCUCUGAAAGCUGUCUCUCGGUGAUACAGCACCAAGCCACCACCACACACUCUGGGCAGGAUGGAGCUGACAGCAUAGUCUUUUCCUACUCUUACCAAAGCCCUCACAGGAACCGGACAAGACUGUCUACUGCACAAGCUUGAUGCAUUUAGGCAAACACUGUACACCGAGCUGACGUCCCAGCCCCUCCCCCCAAGCUAUCCUUGCUACAGGUGACAAGACAGUAAAGGCAGGUGGCCCCACUUCUGCAGUAAAGUCUGGGUGCUUCAGAGAGACCUGAAGGAGACCCUUGAAGACUGGCUUUCCAGAGAAGCCAAGUGGAAUGGAAAGACAAGAGAGAAGUUCAGAGUCUUAGCAAGCUGAUUCAGUGCCUAUGUAACACGCACAAAGCCCCGGGCUCCGUCUGCAGCACUAUACGAACUUGAUACGGUGGUGUUGUCUGUAAUUCCAGUAUUUAGGGAUGGAAGCAGGAAGAUCAGGAGUUCACGGUCAUCCUAAGCUUCACCUGAGUUCAAGGUCAGCCAGAGCUGCAUGACAAAACCCCACUAACUAUCGGAUAGCUUACAGAAUUCAAGUUUGAAGCCUCGUCUGGUGACACAAGACUGCAAUCCCAGCUAUGCAAGAGGCAGGGGUUAAAGGCUCCUGCGGUGAAGACACUUGGGAUCAGCGUGAGCCUGGCAGGUACUGAAGGCAGGAGGAGGCAUGAGCUGCAGACGUGGAUUAAAUCCGUUGUUUAUAAUUGAGUUCACUUCCCAUCGCGUACCCUCUUCAGAAGCCAGCAUGGCCUAUGAAAGUCUCCCUCUCUGCUGAGGUCAGCGAUGGGCUUCUAUUCAGAGGCUUCAAGCGUGUGCUGCGUUUUCUUGCUUCGAAGCGGGUCUGAUGCUCUUCUUGUUGCUAUGACAACUGACACAAGCAACUUGAGGAAGGAAGAGCUUAUUUCAGCUCACAGUUUGAAGGGUCGAUCCGCUACAGCGGGGAAGGCAUGGUGGAAGAAGCAUGGGACAGUGAAGUGGAAGUUUCAGGUUGUGUCACGUGAUGCAGAUUCGCGUGAUGUUUUGCCAAGGUAAGACCUGUGGGAGAAUGCAUACUGUUUGGAAAGAGUAUAAGUAUGACUCAACAGACAGUAAUGGGGUGCUUGCAUAGCUAGCCUUGCAAUGCUUUGUUGGUCUCCAGUCUUCGCUGAGCAGAGAAGCAUGGCAGAGAACUUCUCUGUGCAGCCCAGGUCUGGUCGCUCCCACUGACUCCUGCUGAUUCACAGAGGCUUGAUAGCUUCUGCUGGAUCAUGGUGCCGCUGUUGAUCCGUGUUUGGUAUCCUGACACUGCUGAAGUGAGCUGCUGGUAUCCUGACAACGAAGGUUGGAACCACCCCCAAAGAACUACUUCUAAAUAGUCCUAUUUACCAUCUUUUCUCCCCUAGCUUUAGAUGGUGGGCUAAAAGGAGGGUCAAAGCAUUUGAGAACCCCCUAUUAAAGAAGGUUUUGAAAAAAAUCUAAGCCCAAAGGGCAGCUGGUCAGAACGUCUCUGCAGACACGAAGCAGAGACGAGUGCUGGCUCUUGGCUUGCUCUCUCCUUUUGCUUCCUGGGCAUCAGAUCGUGGAAUGGUGUCAUUCAUGGUUAGGGUGGGGCUUCCCUCCUCAGUAAACUCACUUUAGAAACUUCCUCCCCAGAGGCUGGUCUCCUAGGUGCUUCUAGAUCCUGUCAAGUUGGCCAUCAAUAGAAAUCACCAUAAGGCAUUUGCUCCUAUAUCCAAUAUGGGUCAGCUACUCAAUAGCUCUCUGUGGAGCAAAUAGUUUCCAGAAUGAAUGAAUGAAUGAAUGAAUGGUGGAAGCAUGCCUGAAGACCUCCUUCCUCAUCUCACAGAUAGAGCAUGCUUCCUCUUCCUCCAGGUUUUAUCAUCUCUUCCUCGUACGGCUAGGUUAACUAACCGGGACAGUCUAUAUUCUAGGGGCUUUUCCAGCAUGCUGCAUCACGACUGAGCUAUCUGUUCCACAACUGCUUGCUGCAGAACCAUUCUCCCCUUAAGUACCAUGAGGAGUGUGGACAAUGCUCUAGAGCUACAGCGAGCUUGGCCUCACAGUAUCUGCAAGGGGUCUCUUUAGCAACGGGAAUGGGAGUGGAAUUGAUUUCCCAUCAGCCCUGGUUGCACUGGAGGCUGCUAUAUGGAGCUGAUGAUGAGACCAACCUGCAGAGGCAAAACUCACUUCCAGCCCAUGGGCCAGACAGGAGCGUCACCAGGACAGUUCAGUUUGUUCUGCACUGGUGGUGAGAUAUAACUCCCAGGUCUGCCUGUAGGGUCUCUCUGGAGAAGCCCCUGAGCUGGAGGACUGAGGGAAGAAACUUACCCUCAUUGAUAUGGUAGUGUCUAGCUCCCAGGGCCCAGCUGGAACACAAAGGGAAAAGUGGGGUAAACAUACUUUCUGUGCUGGAGCUGGGGCCCCUGGUGUGACCUCCUGGCACAGGCAGCACUGGCACCCUGGUCACCAGCCCCCACAUCACACAUUCUCUGGGCUUCCACCCUGAGAAGGAUGUGGAGGGGCUUCUUAGCCUCUGUCCUUGUGAGCCAGCCCCUGUGACAGAGUCCUUCCGCAAACCUAUGCAUUUCUCUUGCUCAUUGCUUCUCUGAAAAAUUCUUUUGAUGAAUGUGGUCACUUGGUCCAAGGCCCAGCUUUCCCACCAGAACCUCCUGGUCUCUUCUUCUGUCAGAGCAAGUUCUGGUCAGUCUUGCGUGCGCUCGACUGGCCAGGAAGAACGACGCUGCAACAGGAUCCUUCUGCACACGUUUAUUGGGAGAGCUUGAUU